GGAACCGUAGCUCAGUGGUAGAGCGUCCGGUUUACAUCCGGUAGGUCGGAGGUUCAAGUCCUCCCGGUUCCACCA
rnacentral:tRNA from 1 species